rnacentral:lncRNA from 1 species
UACUCCAAGUGAACCCAAUGGUUUGGUAAAGGCUUAUUUUAAUAGUCAGUUUGAAGUAUUUUUCAAUUAAGUGACAUAGGAAAUUGUUUCUUUUUACAGAUUUUCAAAAGAAUUGCGAGAUUAUAACUGGCAUGAACCUAGCAGUUGAUUGUGUUAUGUAUGAUCAAAAGACAAUUCAAUCUCUGAUUUUUUUUCCUCAUCUUAAGGAACACACUAGAUCAACCAAAGUCUCACAACAACCCUGUGAAGAAGAUGUGAAGUACAGAAAUGAUGUACUUGCCCAGAGACUCCUACAUGGAUAUCAGAGCUAGUACAUGGAUACAACCAUCCCAUUGGUAUCA